UACGUAGGGUGCAAGCGUUGUCCGGAAUUAUUGGGCGUAAAGAGCUCGUAGGCGGUUUGUCGCGUCGGCUGUGAAAACCUGGGGCUCAACCCCGGGCCUGCAGCCGAUACGGGCAAGCUAGAGUUCGGUAGGGGAGACUGGAAUUCCUGGUGUAGCGGUGAAAUUCGUAGAUAUCGGGAGGAACACCAGUGGCGAAGGCGGCGACCUGGGCAGAUACUGACACUGAGGUGCGAAAGCGUGGGGAGCAAACAGG
rnacentral:rRNA from 1 species